GACGAACGCUGGCGGCGUGCUUAAUACAUGCAAGUCGAACGGAAAGGCCCUGCUUUUGUGGGUUGCUCGAUUGCCGAACGGGGGAGUAUAACGUGAGUAUCCUGCCCUUGACAUUGGGAUAACUUCCGGAAACAGGGGCUAAAACCGGAUAGGAUCUCCUGCUGCACGGUGGGGAAUGGAAAGUUUCGGCGGUUGGGGAUGGACUCGCGGCUUAUCAGCUUGUUGGUGGGGUAGUGGCUUACCAAGGCUUUGACGGGUAGCCGGCCUGAGAGGGUGAACGGCCACAAUGGGACUGAGAUACGGCCCAGACUCCUACGGGAGGCAGCAGUGGGGAAUAUUGCACAAUGGGCGGAAGCCUGAUGCAGCAACGCCGCGUGCGGGAUGACGGCCUUCGAGUUGUAAACCGCUUUCGCCUGUGACGAAGCGUGAGUGACGGUAAUGGGUAAAGAAGCACCGGCUAACUACGUG
rnacentral:rRNA from 1 species